rnacentral:lncRNA from 1 species
AUGCUUAUUAUCAGAACGUGCAAGCAAUUGCAGUCAGUGGCAGGUUCAUCACUGCAUGCCAUCCCACUGCACCCAGGAGCCGCAGUGCCUGGGGGCAUGCAGGACACGAGGGGAGCAGGUUGUGAUGGGCUUCCUCCAACACCUGGUGACUGGCGCUCGCUGCCGCCCUUCUGGAAGGUUCUGCAUGGGGUGGGAAUGCUGGCAGUAAGGUUCAAAAUUUCUAUUAAGUGGUGUUCCAUGACUGAGCAUAAGCUAGGAAGAGUGGGCAAUGGACCUUUCGAUUAGAACUGUGGAAUUCCUGUAGUAGGCUCUAGCCUUGGUCAAUAAGUAAUUGGGCAUUUUGCUGCUUUAUGACAGAGCCCUCGGGCUGGCAGACACUGAACACCCUUUCAUCCUUCCGACUUCAAAGUACUGCUCAGAACUUUGCAGAAACAGUCUUUUAAUUAGAUCUGUAAUUGAAACAUCUAUCGGACUAGCCUACAUCAUCUUUUCAAAGUAUCUUGUAUGUAAUGUUGCAGCAAAUGAAUGUGAUUUGCAAAUGGAGCACAGUCUCAUGUAUAAUUAUCACAUCUCUUUAGCUUCCUGUAAGUGCACCUUUCAGGAAUUCCAUUUCAGAGGUGAUUAAACCCUAGUUUAUCUCACAAGUUGUACAUAUUUAAGAAAAUAUUCAAGACUUUCAGAGAACUGGAAAUUAAUUAUUUUCUUAUAAAGCUGACCUUAGCAUUUUCCAAGUGACCCACAGACUUGCUCCUUUUCAUUUAGAGGGGCUAAGGAAGUUGUGAUCAAAGAGCUAAAACUCAACCUGGCUUAGGGGAUAUGGUAGGCAUUAAUAUAUAAAUGCUUUCGUGAACAUCCUAAAAAUUCUCUGCCUCUUUCAUACCCAACCUUGUUGCUUUGUGUUGCAUUAUAUCUGCUGAUAUUCUGGCAGUGCAGCUGCCAAGUGGACGAAGGAUUUUCAGAGUUAAAAACUUGAUUAACUGUAGUUGAGUUUAAAAUUUUAUCACUAAAACACUUCCUAUGAAAUUUUUACUCUGAAAACAAGUGUUUCCCUUACAUUAAAAAAGUUUUUCCUUUACAUUUAAAACAGUUGCUUCUCAAAACACGUAUACAUGUGUUUUAGGGAUUGCAAUGUUCUCUUUAGCAAAGCAAAAAGCUAUUUUAUUUUACUUUUUUACUGGAGGUGAUAUUUUUCUCUUGGAGGCUUUGCAAAUCUCCAUGUGACUUACCUCUAAAAGAUGUUUUGCAGGAGUUGCUAAGGUGAUUUUGUGGGCUGGAAAUGCACUGGUAAUUUGUUGUUGUUUGCGGAAGAGUAUGAAUGAAAUUUCACCACGCACAGCAAGGCAAACAUCCAUGUCUGGUGGUAUUUCUUAAGGGGCUCAGUAGGGAAGAGAACAGCUGUACAAAAGCACCAUUCUCAGCCCCUUCAAGGAUGAUCACACGCAAUCUGGAUGUCCAUAGGGUAGAGGACAUAAACAUUUUGAUCAUGCUUCAUCUUUUCAUCAUUUUAAUCAGAAUGUGAAGCAUUUUAGAUUUUUGUCUUUUUGUUUUUCUUUUCUUUUUGCAAGCGAAUGAUUUGACAACUGCUUACUGACAAUAUCUAAGGUUCAAAAGUUGAUAUUUGCCCUGAGUCCUAGCAAGCACUCCGAAGCUGUGAGCAAACCCAUUGCUCCCAUGCAGCUUUCUUAUGGAGCAGGCACGCGGAAGGUGAGGGUGCGCACCGGGGCUGGCCGCCUGCAGCCUGCUCACGGUAACGGGGCUCUCGGGUCAACAGGACUUCGUCCGGCUCCUCAGGAGUGUUCAUCAUCACACAGACUGUUUUUGUGACUUGGUGAUGAUUCUGUUUUGUAUUGGCCAGGAAGACCUGAUUCCUGAGUAAAACCACUCAAAAUAAACAACAUGAAAUAUUCA